UACGGGGGGGGCAAGCGUUGUUCGGAAUUACUGGGCGUAAAGGGCUCGUAGGCGGCCAACUAAGUCAGACGUGAAAUCCCUCGGCUCAACCGGGGAACUGCGUCUGAUACUGGAUGGCUUGAGUUCGGGAGAGGGAUGCGGAAUUCCAGGUGUAGCGGUGAAAUGCGUAGAUAUCUGGAGGAACACCGGUGGCGAAGGCGGCAUCCUGGACCGACACUGACGCUGAGGAGCGAAAGCCAGGGGAGCAAACGGG
rnacentral:rRNA from 1 species